rnacentral:rRNA from 1 species
GAUGAACGCUGGCGGCGUGCCUAAUACAUGCAAGUCGAGCGGACGGACGCUAAGCUUGCUUCUCUCAUGUUUGCCGCGGGCGUGUGAGUAACACGUGGAUACCCUACCUAUAAGACUGAGAUAACUUCGGGAAACCGGAGCUAAUACCGGAUAAUAUUUUGAACCGCAUGGUUCAAAAGUGAAAGACGGUCUUGCUGUCACUUAUAGCUGGAUCCGCGCUGCAUUAGCUAGUUGGUAAGGUAACGGCUUAACACGGCAACGAUGCAUGGCCGAGGUGCGGGGCGGAUCGGCGACACUGGAACUGAGACGCGGUCCAGACUCCUACGAGAGGCAGCAGUAGGGAAUCUUCCGCAAUGGGCGAAAGCCUGACGGAGCAGCGCCGCGUGAGUGACGAAGGUCUUCGGAUCGUAAAACUCUGUUAUUAGGGAAGAACAGAUGUGUAAGGAAAUGUGCACAUCUUGACGGUAACUAAUAAGAAAGCAACGGCUAACUACGUG